rnacentral:rRNA from 1 species
GGCGGCGCGCUUAAACAUGCAAGUCGAACGAGAAAGUCCGCAAGGAUGAGUACAGUGGCGUACGGGUGAGUAACACGUGGAUGAUCCACCUCUUUGUGGGGAAUAACUUUGGGAAACCGAAGCUAAUACCGCAUAAGCCUGGAAAGGGAAAGCCGAAAGGCGCAGGGAGAGGAGUCCGCGGCUGAUUAGCUAGUUGGUGAGGUAAUGGCUCACCAAGGCGAAGAUCGGUAGCCGGCCUGAGAGGGCACACGGCCACACUGGCACUGCAACACGGGCCAGACUCCUACGGGAGGCAGCAGUGGGGAAUCUUGCACAAUGGAGGAAACUCUGAUGCAGCGACGCCGCGUGCGCGAUGACGCCCUUCGGGGUGUAAAGCGCUUUCGACCGGAACGAUAAUGACGGUACCGGGAGAAGAAGCUGCGGCUAACUACGUGCCAGCAGCCGCGGUAAUACGUAGGCAGCAAGCGUUGUUCGGAGUUACUGGGCGUAAAGAGUCUGUAGGCGGUGUCCUAAGUUUGGUGUGAAAUCUCCCGGCUUAACCGGGAGGGUGGCGCGAAAACUGGGAGGCUGGAGUAUGGGAGAGGAACGCGGAA